rnacentral:snRNA from 1 species
GUGCUCGCUUCGGCAGCACAUAUACUAAAAUUGGAACGAUACAGAGAAGAUUAGCAUGGCCCCUGCGCAAGAAAGAAAGAAAGAAAAAAAUUAAAGUUUA